rnacentral:rRNA from 1 species
UUCCGGUUGAUCCCGCCGCCGGACACUGCUAUCAGGUUUCGGCUAAGCCAUGCGAGUCUAGGGAUCGCAAGAUACCGGCAUACUGCUCAGUAACACGCGGAUAAUCUGCCCCCAGGUGAAGAAUACCCUCGGGAAACUGAGGCUAAUACUUCAUAAUCACUAUAUGCUGGAAUGCUUUGGUGAUGAAAGAAUUUCGCCUGAGGAUGAGUCUGCGGCCUAUCAGGUCGUAUGUGGUGUAAUGGACCACAUAGCCUAAGACGGGUACGGGCCUUGAAAGAGGGAGCCCGGAGAUGGACUCUGAGACAUUAGUCCAGGCCCUACGGGGCGCAGCAGGCGCGAAAACUGUGCAAUGCGCGAAAGCGCGACACGGGAAGCCUGAGUGCCUUAACACAGUUAAGGCUUUUCUCAAGCCUAAAAAGCUUGAGGAAUAAGAGCUGGGUAAGACGGGUGCCAGCCGCCGCGGUAACACCCGCAGCUCGAGUGGUGGUCACUUUUAUUGAGCCUAAAGCGUUUGUAGCCGGAUCCGUAAAUCUCCAGGAAAAUUCCUUCGCUCAACGAAGGACCUUCUGGAGAGACUGCGGAUCUAGGGACCGGGUGAGGUUGAAUGUACUUCUGGGGUAGGGGUAAAAUCCUGUAAUCCUGGAAGGACGACCGGUGGCGAAGGCGAUCAACUAGAACGGAUCCGACGGUGAGGAACGAGGGCUAGGGGAGCAAACCGGAUUAGAUACCCGGGUAGUCCUAGCUGUAAACACUGCCCACUUGAUGUUGCAUCCCCGUGUAGGGGGUGCAGUGUCGUAGCGAAGGUGUUAAGUGGGCCGCUUGGGGAGUAUGGUCGCAAGGCUGAAACUUAAAGGAAUUGGCGGGGGAGCACCACAACGGGAGGAGCGUGCGGUUUAAUUGGAUUCAACGCCGGGA